GAUAAAGUGGCUGAAACUUAGGCAAUAAAUUGUAAAUUUAUUUAUGGUAAUUUACCCUUUAUCA
rnacentral:tRNA from 1 species